UUCACCGUGUUAGCCAGGAUGGUUUCAAUCUCCUGACCUCAUGAUCCACCUGCCUCAGCCUCCCUGUAGGGUGACAGCCCUACAGGGUUGUGGGGUGUCCCCUAUCGCUGUGCUGAGGUGCAGGAUUCAAGAAAUAAAGAAACAGGACACAGAAGUACAAAGAAAGCACAGCUGGGCUCAGUGGGACCACCCCACUUAUAAGCAGAGACAGGCGAGGCUCCAAAUGUCCAGAAACGUCUGUAUUUAUUGGGUAUAGGUUAGGAGGCAGGGUAAUGAGUUAAGUCAUCUUUAGGAUAGUGAUAGGGUUGUGAGCAGUAAACAAGGGGUCCACCCACAUUAGGUCACCGAGGCAUGGAGGGAAGGCAGCCCCCAGGCCCCGAAGGCAAGCUUGCUGCUCAGACGCCUCUGAAGUUGGGGCUUGGAAAGGAAGCUGGAGCUACAGGAGUGAGCCCUUCGGAUGAACCGAGGAAAAGCGGACUUCCUGGGUCAGCGUCUGGGUACAGUAGCUGCUAGCUACAUGCGGCUAUUUAAACUCUAAUUUGAGCUGAUUAAAACCAAUUAAAGUUAAAAA